CAGCCAAUCAGAGAGCAGCCUCACUGGACCGCAUUCGAGAGUCCAAAUAUGCGUAACUUUCCAUCUUAAUAGCCCAUAUCUAACCUUACAGAGUUAACAUGUUUUAGGUGCCUGUCAUGUUCUCGAAAAUUCCUUGUUUAUAUGAGAAGCAUGAUGUUUGCCUCAUGUGUUUAUGUGUUGAUUACACGUGCCAGUGUUUUAAUUUGCGCUGAUCUUCCGGGAAUCUCGCUCACGGGCGCACUUGCACAGUAGCAAAAGGUGACGACAAAGCGUGUACUCUUAAUCUCAGGAAUAAUUAUCAAUCCUGAGAGAAAAAAAAAUCUAGCAGACUCAGCCCCUUAUUAUCCCCGAGACCGUGUAAAGACGGUGAAAGGGAGAAAAAGCAAACAGUGAACGCAGACGCUUAUGCGCGCUUCUCCUGCAUUGUGUCUCUCAGCCAGAGGAAUUUAAGGAGGUUUAAUUGCCUAAAACAGUCCUCUCGUCCACAUGACUGUCACACUGCAAGUGCUCAUGUUGAUACAUCGAAAUGUAACACCAGAUGACUGGAGAUGGACUGCCACUGGACUAGGGCCAUGCUGGAUAAGCCUGAAAGCAGUAGGCAGGGAUGCACUACAGGGGUAUAUGUGACACUUUUCUAAAGUAAAAAAAGAAGAGCUAUGAGCAUCCGAGGCGAUUUUUUUUCGAAGGCAGACGACCAAACAGUUAGUUUUUAUACUCAUAAGAAGUGAUAAAAAAAACAAAAACAAAACAAGAACAACAACAACCAGAGGAUCUGACUAAAAACACUAUCCAGGAUCAUCCACACACAGAGAAGAAGGAGUGGAACGGAGCAGGAGACGUGUUCAUAUCCCCGACUUUACCCCGGUUGAGCUGGUUUGAGAUGUUCUGCACUGAAAAGAAAGGAGAAGCCAAGUGACAAAUAAAUGGAUCCAAUUAAAACACACUUCCACACUUCAUGUCAGCAGUGUGAGGAGUGUGGAGCUCACCCUUCUCCCCAAGUUCAAAGGCACAGGAGCUCAGAGGGCUGGAUUUGUUCAGGCAUAUUUGGUAAACCCCUGGAUUUGAAUUGUAGUGUGCAAGGCCAGAAGAUGAUGUUUAAGAAAUGUUACAUUGUGAGAUUUUGUGUGAAAUCCCCAUAAUAAAUUCACCAAGUAUGCACAAGAAAUGGCUAUUCAUGUUUGUGGUCCAAAGUUUCUUCUUCUUCUUUUUUUUCCUUUCUGAUGUAACCUUAGAGGUAUAGGUGUAUGAAUAAAGUAUAUGUGACUUUUUAAAAGUCCAAAAAAACAAACAAACAACCCCCCCCCCCCCCCCCCAAAAAAAAAAAAAACAGCAUGUAGAAAAUAGAG
ensembl:lncRNA